rnacentral:rRNA from 1 species
GGUUGAUCCUGCCAGUAGCAUAUGCUUGUCUCAAAGAUUAAGCCAUGCAUGUCUAAGUACAAGCCGCUUGACGGCGAAACCGCGAAUGGCUCAAUAAAUCAGUUAUGGUUCCUUAGAUCCACCCAUCCUACUUGGAUAACUGUGGUAAUUCUAGAGCUAAUACAUGCACUCAAGUCCUGACUCGGGCGCAAGCCCAAGAAAGGAUGCUUUAUUAGAUCAAAACCAGUCGGGCUCGCGCUUGGCGCAAGUCUUGUGCAGCCCGUACCGUUUGGUGACUCUGGAUAACUUCCCGCUGAUCGCACGGUCUCGUACCGGCGACGCGUCUUUCAAAUGUCUGCCUUAUCAACUGUCGAUGGUAGGUUACGCGCCUACCAUGGUUGCAACGGGUAACGGGGAAUCGGGGUUCGAUUCCGGAGAGGGAGCCUGAGAAACGGCUACCACAUCCAAGGAAGGCAGCAGGCGCGCAAAUUACCCACUCCCGGCACGGGGAGGUAGUGACGAAAAAUAACGAUACGGGACUCUUCCGAGGCCCCGUGAUUGGAAUGAGUACACUUUAAAUCCUUUAACGAGGACCCAUUGGAGGGCAAGUCUGGUGCCAGCAGCCGCGGUAACUCCAGCUCCAAUAGCGUAUAUUAAAGUUGUUGCGGUUAAAAAGCUCGUAGUCGGAAGUCUGUCUUCGGCCGGGUCGCGGCUCUCUGAAUUAAGGGAGUUCCGUUAUGGCUCUGCUGGCCGGGGUGUCAAAGCCUCGGCUGCUUAGCGGUCGGACAACACCGCCGGAGUGUUGAGGGAUCGCCGUGCGUUUAGUUGCGCGAAAACGGCUCGGGGUCAAACCCGUGCACGAACGCGCUCCGCGCCGGGACGAACUUCAACCGUAAUCGUCCGGGGUGCCCUUCACCGGGUGUCUCGGGCGGCCGGCAAUGUUUACUUUGAACAAAUUAGAGUGCUCAAAGCAGGUGCAUCCCACGCCUGAAUAUUACAGCAUGGAAUGAUAAAAGAGGACCUCGGUCUUAUUUUGCUGGUCUUUAUUCUUUAGACCCGAGGUAAUGGUCAAUAGAGACGGACGGGGGCAUCCGUACUGCGGCGACAGAGGUGAAAUUCUUGGACCGCCGCAAGACGAACAACAGCGAAGGCAUUUGCCAAGAAUGUUUUCCUUGAUCAAGAACGAAAGUUAGAGGUUCGAAGGCGAUCAGAUACCGCCCUAGUUCUAACCAUAAACGAUGCCAACCAGCAAUCCGCCGGUGUUACUCCCAUGACUCGGCGGGCGGCUUCCGGGAAACCAAAGUUUUUGGGUUCCGGGGGAAGUAUGGUUGCAAAGCUGAAACUUAAAGGAAUUGACGGAAGGGCACCACCAGGAGUGGAGCCUGCGGCUUAAUUUGACCCAACACGGGAAACCUCACCAGGCCCGGACACUGGAAGGAUUGACAGAUUGAGGGCUCUUUCUUGAUUCGGUGGGUGGUGGUGCAUGGCCGUUCUUAGUUGGUGGAGCGAUUUGUCUGGUUAAUUCCGAUAACGAACGAGACUCUAGCCUGCUAAAUAGGUG